UCGAUGUCAGUUUCAUCCGGAGGUAGUUAAGCAUGAGCCUCCCAGCACCUCCCAGUUUAGUAUUGGGCACGUCAAGAAAGUUGCAGUUUGCUUCCAAAGUAAUCUCAUGCACUCAACUGAAAGGAAGAUUCUGAUCGUUCAAAUAUUGAGAUUUCAAGGCCUGAAUUGAAGAUAACUGGCAACUACACCAGACCUGGCCGCUGCCGCUACGUCCCCGAUCCACCCCCCACCAUCCAGGUUGAUCCAUGCACAGGAGACAACACCUCUUAACAAUACAGUUUUCUGUGUGUUUUCACUUCGAACUGAAUGACUGACAGUCAAAGUUUCAAUAGAG
rnacentral:lncRNA from 1 species